GACAGAGGGUGCGAACGUUGUUCGGAAUUACUGGGCGUAAAGCGCAUGUAGGCGGCAGCGCAAGUCGGGCGUGAAAUCCCACGGCUCAACCGUGGAAGUGCACUCGAAACUGCGCAGCUAGAGUCCUGGAGAGGAAGGUGGAAUGCUUGGUGUAGAGGUGAAAUUCGUAGAUAUCAAGCGGAACACCGGUGGCGAAGGCGGCCUUCUGGACAGUGACUGACGCUGA
rnacentral:rRNA from 1 species